AUAUAAUUUUGAAAUUACUAGACUAACUCUUGAAAUAUACAAACUUACAGUUUUGCCAUCAGUAAAAUAAAGCCUAAUUAGAAAAAGAAAUACAUUUUAAUAUUAUGAAAGGAACAAAAAAAAAAGCAAAUACUUUGUCGGGUUUCUUCACCAAACGCUCUCUUCGUCGUCUCCGUCACCUCCAUCUCCGACGGUCCCUUUUUCCUCACAACCGCCUUUGUCUCUGUCAUCUCUACCGUACUUCGACUUUGUCUCCGGCAUCCUCCACGAUAAUUCACCUUCGUCUCUUUCCUACUCGACAAACUCGAAAUCGAUUUCACCACAGUCACAUCCGGCUUCAAUUGCAAGUUACUCUAAUCUGUUUAAUUUAGCAAAGAGAGCAACAACCUCUGCAAACUCAACUCUUACAAGCACUCUGGAAGACGGUGACCACCAUUCAGGUAGCUGACAAGGAGAAAGGUGUGGUACCACUACAAGAAAACAGGGGGAUUCUGAUUGCCGAAAUCGUCGGUAAUUCGUCGGAAUCGGUCUAUUCCGACGAAUUUCCGACGAACCCGUCCGUCGGUAUCGUUUCGUCGGAAAAAAAAAAUUCGUCGGAAUUUCGUCAGAAAUUCCGACGACUUUCUGACGAAU